rnacentral:rRNA from 1 species
UACGUAGGUGACCAGCGUUGUCCGGAUUUACUGGGCGUAAAGAGCGCGCAGGCGGUCGUUCAAGUCGAGUGUGAAAGCCCCCGGCUCAACUGGGGAGGGUCAUUCGAUACUGAUCGACUGGAAGGCAGGAGAGGGAAGCGGAAUUCCCGGUGUAGUGGUGAAAUGCGUAGAUAUCGGGAGGAACACCGAUGGCGAAGGCAGGUCUCUGGGCCAUAACUGACGCUGAGAAGCGAAAGCAUGGGGAGCGAACAGG